GUCCUCUAGGGAAAUAAUUUGAGGUCUAACCUGCCCACUGAAAAUUUUAAAUGGCCGCAGUAUUUUGACUGUGCAAAGGUAGCAUAAUCAUUAGUUUUUUAAUUAAAAGCUUGUAUGAAUGGUUGGACGAAAUAAAAACUGUCUCUAUAUAAUAAUUAGAAUUUAAUUUUUAAGUUAAAAAGCUUAAAUUUAAUUAAAAGACGAGAAGACCCUAUAGAUCUUGAUAAUAAAUUUUAUAGUUUUAUUAAGGAUUUAUUUAUUUAUUAUAAUUAUUAUUAUUUUAUUGGGGUAAUAAGAAGAUUAAUAAAAUUCUUUUUUGUGUUUACCAUAAAUUAAUGAUUAUUUGAUCCUUGUUAUUGAUUAAAAGAUUAAGUUACCUUAGGGAUAACAGCGUAAUUUUUUUAGAGAGUUCAUAUCGAUAAAAAAGUUUGCGACCUCGAUGUUGGAUUAAAAAUUAUUUUGGGUGUAGAAGUUCAAAUUUUUGGUCUGUUCGACCAUUAAAUUUUU
rnacentral:rRNA from 1 species